rnacentral:rRNA from 1 species
GACGAACGCUGGCGGCGUGCCUAAUACAUGCAAGUAGAACGCACAGUUUAUACCGUAGCUUGCUACACCAUAGACUGUGAGUUGCGAACGGGUGAGUAACGCGUAGGUAACCUGCCUGGUAGCGGGGGAUAACUAUUGGAAACGAUAGCUAAUACCGCAUAAUAUUAAUUAUUGCAUGAUAAUUAGUUGAAAGGUGCAAUUGCACCACUACCAGAUGGACCUGCGUUGUAUUAGCUAGUAGGUGAGGUAACGGCUCACCUAGGCGACGAUACAUAGCCGACCUGAGAGGGUGAUCGGCCACACUGGGACUGAGACACGGCCCAGACUCCUACGGGAGGCAGCAGUAGGGAAUCUUCGGCAAUGGACGAAAGUCUGACCGAGCAACGCCGCGUGAGUGAAGAAGGUUUUCGGAUCGUAAAGCUCUGUUGUAAGAGAAGAACGGGUGUGAGAGUGGAAAGUUCACACUGUGACGGUAUCUUACCAGAAAGGGACGGCUAACUACGUG